rnacentral:lncRNA from 1 species
UCAGCAGGUCGCCUGGGUCUCUGUCUCAGUGCUCAGCAGGGCGAGGACAGGACAGAACGGGCCCCAUCACAGACUGCGCUUAGAAGGAACUCAGUAAAACAAAGACCAUUUUCUUCUGGAGGCAACUCAAGGAGGUAAGACUGUGAGUCAAGCGCCUUGGAGGAUAAGAAGUCCAGAAAAACAUGGAAACAAUGAACAGACGCAAGCACGCAGAGCCGCACGCCCUGACGGUGCACCCCGAGCCAGGUGGCACCCAGCAGCCAGGAAACCCAUGAGUGACAGUGGCCAAGGUGGCCUGGUCGUCUGCAAUUACAGGAACCUGCCUUUCAAGAUUUCCAGCAUCACUGGUACUCAAUAUUGAAGGAAUGAAAAUACGUGAGGAAUAAAAGAAUGAAGAAAGUGACCUCUACCGCAAGGACACAGGCCCUGAAGGCUGAGACUGUGAAGGGGGCAGGCAAAGAUCCACGCCCAGACAGGCCACCCCUGCUCUCCUGGGAAAGGGGCCGAGAGCCAGAGAGUUCGGGGCAGAGAGAGCCUGAGUGCGAGGCCCAGGCCAGGGCCUUUACCAGCAAAGACCGGCCCCUCUGCCUGCGCCCUGAGGUCAUGGAGAAAGGCAGGGGUGGGGGUAUGGUCAUCCUUCCCAAGGUCCUGGAGUCAGGUCUGCUUACCAAGCCACCGUGUGUCCCAUGACAUUCUGGAGGCCUCCGGGCCCAAUGGAGGUCACAUCCACCGUCCUCCCGGCCCUGUCCUGUCCACUGGGUGGCUGCCCUCUUCCCACCCUCCAGUAUUGACUGCGUUGUGUGGGAUGGGGAAGACCUCCGGUCCCCUCCACCAAACAAAGCACAAGCCAAAGUGCCCACCAGCGUGAGUGCCGUGAGCACCGUGAACCUUCUCUAUGCCGAGGGGCACACAGCCUUGAGCGUCCACGGGGGAUGGGCCUGUGGGUGCUUUCCCUCUGCCCCAGGGAAGCGGUGGUAAUCACACCUGUGAGAUGCCGACAAUCAUGCGUGCGACCAUCCGUCUCUAGGUGCCCGGGGCCUGGAAGCCCAGGAGCUCCCACAUCCAGGGAGGAGGCACGGAUCAGAUCACAAGCGCCCAUCACUGCCCUCCGUGCAUACUGGGAAGGCUGAUGGCAGAGGCUAAGGAAGGGGAGAGGCCAGGAAAAGUGCGUGAAGAUACAUACCAAACACACAACGCUCAACUCUCGCAGAGCUUUCUCUAAAUGCAUCUCACUUACCGAAAGAGUACCUGAAAAACAAAAGAAGAAACGAGUAUUAACACUUUGGCUUGUUUCAACCAAAAACCCACUGUUUCCCCACUGAGUGAAGCCCACCCUGGCACCCAGCACGGUGUGGGGUCAGGGAAGCCCUGCGAGGAGGACCUGCCCGCUGGGCAUUAGGGGAACAGGAGCCCCUCCCCACGGCUCACACACAGGCAGGCCCAGAACAGGCAACCAAAACAUAUUCCAAGAUACACCUACUAAGUACCCAUAGAAAUAAAAAAAUAUGUAUUUUGCG